rnacentral:rRNA from 1 species
AUUGAACGCUGGCGGCAGGCCUAACACAUGCAAGUCGAACGAGUGGCGGACGGGUGAGUAAUGUCUGGGAAACUGCCUGGUGGAGGGGGAUAACUACUGGAAACGGUAGCUACUACCGCAUACCAUCAGAUGGGCCCAGAUGGGAUUAGCUUGUUGGUGGGGUAACGGCUCACCAAGGCGACGAUCCCUAGCUGGUCUGAGAGGAUGACGAGCCACACUGGAACGGAGACAGGGUCAAGACGCCUACGGGAGGAAGCAGUGGGGAAUAUUGCACAAUGGGCGAAAGCCGGAUGCAGCCAUGCCGCGUGUAUGAAGAAGGCCUUCGGGUGGUAAAGUACGUUCAGCGGGGAGGCGUUACCCGCAGAAGAAGCACCGGCUAACUCCGUGCCAGCAGCCGCGGUAAUAC